AGCGAACGCUGGCGGCAGGCUUAACACAUGCAAGUCGAACGCAUCCUUCGGGAUGAGUGGCAGACGGGUGAGUAACGCGUGGGAACGUGCCCUCCGGUUCGGGAUAACCCAGGGAAACUUGGGCUAAUACCGGAUACGUGCUUAUGGCAGAAAGGUUUACUGCCGGAGGAUCGGCCCGCGUCUGAUUAGCUAGUUGGUGGGGUAACGGCCUACCAAGGCUGCGAUCAGUAGCUGGUCUGAGAGGAUGAUCAGCCACACUGGGACCGAGACACGGCCCAGACUCCUACGGGAGGCAGCAGUGGGGAAUAUUGGACAAUGGGCGCAAGCCUGAUCCAGCCAGGCCGCGUGAGUGAUGAAGGCCUUAGGGUUGUAAAGCUCUUUUACCCGGGACGAUAAUGACGGUACCGGGAGAAUAAGCCCCGGCUAACUUCGUGCCAGCAGCCGCCUAA
rnacentral:rRNA from 1 species